UGUCCACUCUCUUUCUGUCCGUUCAGUCGAACUUGACUUGUCGAGAGAACCGUUUGGUCUCCUGCUGUUUGCCUCUGUGUGUGAUGGAGGAAGGACCCUGGCGGUUGUGCCAUGUCCAAAUACCUCGUCAGGAGCCAGUGUUUGUCAAGGGGAACAUUUGACCUCAUGGUGGCAGAGGGGGUCACCAGAAUCCCUUUUAUUUAUCUCAUGGAGACAGGAGUGGGGGCACAGCAUUUGAUAGGCAAAACAAACCAGCUGCCAAUCAGAUUAUUGCAAGCACUCGCGCAUACACAAUAAGCAGUGCAGGAAAGAAAAUACAAGAAAAACAACUGGAUUUUCAAAUGUAGCACAUGUGCAGGGUCUAAUUUAAAUAGAUUAAGUCAAUUUAAGUUGCAAAUGCAGCUUUCAGAGUAAAGUCCAGUGUGCACCAAUGAUUAAUUUGGCUUGGCAAAAAGUGACAUCUCAUUUUUUUCCCUUCAUAAGGCCUGCUGGCUAUUUGUUAUUUACUUUUUCUCAUAACAAAUACACAUUUAUUAUUUACUUCUAAAACAGUUUUUCCACUAAUAUAAAGAUGGAUCGAUCCUGCUGUGUCCUCCUUGUCCUUGGCCCUGAUGAAUCUGCACCUGUAUGUGUGUCACAAAUAAAAUGCUUUUUAUGUACUUUCUAAUGGUAAUAAAACAGGGGUAAAAAAAAAGCACAAA